rnacentral:misc_RNA from 1 species
GAUGAAGAACGUAGCGAAAUGCGAUAAGUAAUGUGAAUUGCAGAAUUCAGUGAAUCAUCGAAUCUUUGAACGCACAUUGCGCCCUCUGGUAUUCCGGGGGGCAUGCCUGUUCGAGCGUCAUUAUAACCACUCAAGCUCUCGCUUGGUAUUGGGGUUCGCGGUUUCGCGGCCCCUAAAAUCAGUGGCGGUGCCUGUCGGCUCUACGCGUAGUAAUACUCCUCGCGAUUGAGUCCGGUAGGUCUACUUGCCAGCAACCCCCAAUUUUUACAGGUUGACCUCGGAUCAGGUAGGGAUACCCGCUGAACUUAAGCAUAUCAAUAAGCGGAGGA